rnacentral:rRNA from 1 species
AUUAGAUACCCCAAUAGUCAAAGCAGAAAAUGAUGAAUGUCAUAGAUUAGAUAAACAAUUUAUUCUAUAAAUGAAAGUGUAAGCAUUCCACCUCAAGAGUAAUUUGGCAACAUUGGAACUGAAAUCAUUAGACCGUUUCUGAAACCAGUAGUGAAGUAUGUUGUUUAAUUUGAUGAUACGCAAAAAACCUUACCACAAUUUGAAUAUUUAUAUAUAUCUUUAUUGAUUUUUACUAAUAUAUUUGUAAAUAAUCAAAAUGAUGCUUAUACCCCGUUUGUGAAAUUAAGCAUCAAAAAAGAUAAUAUAUUUACAAGCGUUGCACGGCUGUCUUCAGUUAAUGUCGUGAGAUUUUGGUUAGUUCCAUUAAAUUAACGUAAACCCUUACUUUAUUUUUAUAUAAAGUAGUUCUCCGCUAUAUUGGAUAUGAUAACAGGGACUAAGACAAG